UUGUUUUUUUUCUUACUAAUUCUGUAGAGUACGUUUCACAUAAAGUGCUGAAUUAUUCUUUUUCUUUAGUUUUGUCCGAGAUCAAGAGAAGACACCGCACCCCCAAGUAGAAGAUCAUGAAGUACCAGACUAUUUCUCAUGGAAGAAGCCAAAGCUUGCUCUAACAUCUGAUGAACUCAAGUGAGUCCGGAAACAAGUCUACAAGUGAAAGCUGAGACAAGACAGUGGCCACCUCUACACCCUACGCCUCUUCUUCCCGCCCUGCAAUCUUACCUGCACCAUUCCACUUGUACUACUUGCUGCUUUCCAUAUAGUCCAAGAGUCUCUGCGCCUCUGAUGACGCAUACAGCGUAUAGCCUUAAGUGGGAGUGUUGGCUCUGAAAAGAGCUGUUGUACUUUGCUCGUCUUCAGGAGAAUGCAGGACUACCGGUGGUGAUGGAGCUUGUGAGUUGGUUACUGGCUGGAUGUGCAGGUAACCUUAUUCCGGACUCGUGCAGGUGUGCCCCUUAUGCACAGCGCACACGUGAGAUUUGUCUUGCUAACCAGAGAAUGCUGAGGCAAAUUCUUACUCUACUAAAUUCAGACCGGACAUACCAGAGCAGCAGCACGUUUUCUGACCAUCAUGACGAAGAGGCCUACAUAGCGGACAAUGAGGAGACACCCCCAAAAGAAGUGCCAGAGAAUAACUUUGACAUGUCGCCAACAAAGAUUUUUGCUCUAAGGAAGACAAGCUCAUCCAUCCCCAACCUGGCACUGCUGUUGUCCGGCAACUUUUCACAGAAGAAGAAAUGGCUUCAUCCAAUUGCCGUGGAGUGAAAGGCAAACAGCAACUGGACAGCACACGAAUGAACUUUGUUAAAAAAGCUAUCGGUGCGUAUGCCCCAGUUUCACCUAGGUCCUAUGAUGUGUAUUGGAAAAAACAGUGUGUGUCAGCUAUAGAUGAAGGUUGUAGGAGGCUGAAGAGGUCAAAAGUAAAGUUGAAUUUAAGCUAGUUGCCCCUUUUUAUUAUAUCAACCACACUAUGAAUAAAUCUGUUACUCUCGAUAAUCGAAAAACUAUAAUUGUUUUAAUGCUUCUCAAAAGCGUAAAGCAUUUUAUGGAAUAAUAUUUCAACGGAAGUCUUUCACCAUUACCUUCUGUAGAUCUGUCUAGUAAAUUAUGGAUAUGAUGAGCUUUUCAAAGAAUUGUGGUUUCCUAAUUAUUGAUUCAACUACAAAAAUAAUUUCAUGUUAAUAGUUAUAUUUGAGUGGAACAAAUUUAGAUACUUGUUGUUUCUGUCGUUUUUAUUGUCUUCUGUGCCUUAAGCAUCUUAAAACUCUUGUAUUAUCGUUUCCUUUUUUUUAAUACGUUUUCAUUAUUACUGAUAGUUGCUGGCCUUAAUGAUCGUAUACAUUCAUUUGUUUUUCAACAAUAAUUUAUUCUUUAAGGGAAGCCAAUUUACUUUAAAUAGAUGUUUGUCUAGUACUGUAGAAUUUUCUUAAUAAAAUUUUUACAACUUCUAUACAGUUGUUUUUGUAUUUUAUAAUAAUAUAUUGUAUGUAUUCAAAAUGUGGGGGCUCAUGGUAAUGAUUUUGUUUUA